UUCAAUCAUCCAACUCAACUUCUAUUUGGGGUAUUUCAUACCCAUGGGAAAAAUCAGAAAAAAAAAAAAAAAAAAAACAAAAAACACACACACACACACACAAAGGUUGUGUGUGUUUUUUGAAAAAAAAUUUAAAGGUUAUGGGAAAAACUAAAAUUUGUUGAAAGUUCGUGUAUUUUACGACAAAUAUCCCUUAAUUUUAUACUCUCUCCGUCCACCGAAAAAAAAAUUUACUUCACUUUUUGAACUAUCACAUUCUACAUUCUCUCCUAUGUUUACUUAUAAAUUGUACCUUUAUUGUACUUUUGUUCUAAAUUUUAACUAGGGUUAAGUACUAGAUUUCCC
rnacentral:lncRNA from 1 species